rnacentral:ribozyme from 1 species
UGCCCAGCAACUCCUAUCCCUACCUCCUCGUGUACUGGCCGGGGUACGAGUAACCUAAGGGAAGA